rnacentral:lncRNA from 1 species
GCAGAAUACUAUAAAAAUUAAUAUAGUAUUCGAAUCGAACGCUCAAGUUAUAUACAUCGAACCAUGUAAAAUCAGAUCAUCAAAAAAAAAAAAUAUUUACAAAUCUUGAGGAGAUUUGUAGUUUUUUUUUAUAGUUACAGGUGACCUGAUUGAAAUGUAAGAAUUUCUCACACUUCCGAUGUAAUUCGAAGAAAACGAAAAAAUGUUAUAACCCCUGAGUCUUAGUUGAUGUGUCUUUAUUUCAUUUUUGGAUUUGUAUAAGAGAAAUAUCAUUUUUCAUAUUUGAUAAUUCUUUAAUUCUAUGAUGUGUCAUGUUUAGAAUCAAAAGCGUUAAAUGAUAUUUUGAUAAAUUAUUUAUAUUAUUAAUUUGAAAAUGCAAUCAGAUCUAUCUGUUUCAUCCAUUAAUUAUAACAGGUGUUUUUUGGGAUCAAUGUUAUAUUUGAAACAUAGGUUAAAGAUAUUGCUCAUGAGGAGAAAGUUGCAGAAUACUAUAAAAAUUAAUAUAGUAUUCGAAUCGAGCGUUCAAGUUAUAUACAUCGAUCAAUGUAAAAUCAAGUCAUCAAAAAAAAAAAUUAAAAAUUUACAAAUCUUGGUGAGAUUUGUAAGUUUUUUUUUUUUUUUUUUAUAGAUAUCGAUGGCCUGAUUGAAAUGUAAGAAUUUCUCACACUUAUGAUGUAAUUCGAAGAAAACUAAAGAAAAUGUUAUACCUCUAAGUUUUAGUUGAUGUGUCUUUAUUUCAUUUUUGAAUUUGUAUAAGAGAAAUAUCAUUUUUCAUAUUUGAUAAUUCUUUAAUUCUAAGAUGUGUUAUGUUUAGAAUCAAAAAGAGUUAAAUGAUUAGUCUGACGAAUGGAGCAAACUCUGUGGCCAGUUCCCUAUCGCAAAAUGCGCCGAUCGAGGAAUGGAGGAUUAGUCUCACGGCUGCCGGCUGUGGGGAUACCUUGGGAAACAAAAAAAAAGAAGAGUUUAAUGAUAUUUUGAUAAAUUCUUUAUAUUACUAAUUCGAAAAUGCAAUCAGAUCUAUCUAUAACAUCCAUUAAUUAUAACAGGUGUUUUUUUGGGAUCAAUGUUAUAUUUGAAACAUGGGUUAAAGGUAUUGCUCAUGAUUGUCUUGAAAAAGUUGUUGCAGAAUACUAUAAAAAUUAAUACAGUAUUUGAAUCAAGCGUUCAAGUUAUAUACGUCGAUCAAUGUAAAAUCAAGUCAUAAAAAAAAUUAAAUUUUUUUACAAAUCUUGAUGAGGUUUGUAGUUUUUUUUUAUAGAUAUCGAUGACCUGAUUGAAAUGUAAGAAUUUCUCACACUUACGAUGUAAUUCGAAGAAAACGAAAAAUGUUAUACCCCUAAGUCUUAGUUGGGCCUUUGAGCUGUAGGUGAUAAAAAAGUUUGAAAAUGAGGUGUAGGUGACAAAGUCUUAAUAAUUGAGUGUAGAUGACAAUUACUUUAUUAUGGAUUAAGAAAGUUGGAGAAGUUCGAAAAUAACCCACAAGUUUUUGAAUUUAC